rnacentral:rRNA from 1 species
GUAGACUGCAACCCGUCUGCAUGAAGCUGGAAUCGCUAGUAAUCGCGGAUCAGAAUGCCGCGGUGAAUACGUUCCCGGGUCUUGUACACACCGCCCGUCACACCAUGGGAGUUGGAAAUGCCCGAAGUCAGUGGCCCAACCGUAAGGAGGGAGCUGCCGAAGGCAGGUCCGGUAACCGGGGUGAAGUCGUAACAAGGUAGC